AAUCCCCUCCCCUCGCUCGUUUUCCUCUCCUCGCAAAUAACCGAGCACAACGUCGCCGUCGUUGUGUCGAUCCCGCGGCCACGUGCCUCCCCGUUCCGAACCAUCGCGUCCAGGAGGCGCGUCGCCGUCACCUUCAUCGACUACACCAGCAAAUUGGGGCGUAGGCACUGCAUCGACGACGCACGCGUCUUCCUCCGUCACGGUCGUCGGACGACGCUGUUUGAUCCACACCAUCACGGCAACCUCCGGCCUCCCCGACCUUGCCUAUGUGCUCGCGGUGAGCACCUCCCCCGGAUCCCCCUUCUUCCCGCCUUGAUUCGAUGCCGUAGUCACCGUCCCCGAGUACGUCCAAGCUCCCGCGUACGCGUACGCUUACGUGGGUGCUUGAGCCGCUGCUGCUACUGCCUGCUCACCACUACUCCUGCUGCUCCCUGGCCGCGCCCUCCCAGCUGCCCACGCCGGCGCACAGCUGUGCUCGCCGCAACUGCAUGAUGUCGUUGCCGCCGCUACCUGCCGGCUGUUGCGUUGCCGCAUGCUGCUGCCCGCACCACGCCCUGCUAGCGCCCGAGCCGCACCGGCCCUGCGCACACGCGCGCACCAGCCCGCUUGCUCGCAGCCACAGGCUGCUGCUCCUAACCACCACCCACGCGAGCCCUUUUGGCCUUGCUACCGUGCGUUCAUGCGCGUGCAUGCCCAGCCAUGGGCAUGGCUGUGCCUCUGGCCGGCCCGUUUAAUUGGACUAGGAUUAGCAUUUGAUUGGUUUAGUGUUUGUUUAAUUUAGCUAGGGCUAAUUUAGUCUAUGCCAUGUGGGACCCUAGCUUAGUUAACUCCAUUAAUUUAAUCCAACUUAAAGUAAGUCAAUGACAUGUAGGUCCCCUGGAGAUUAAAAUAAAUAACCAAAAUAAAGUUAGCUACUGUCUGUGACAGCUGGGUCCCCCUCACACUGUUCACUUUGACCGGUCAACUCUGACUGGGUUGUUGACAGGGUCAACCGGGUUCCCUUGGCCCACAUGUCACCCUCUGUGUACACUUCUCUGUACACAGAUCUGGGUACACCUAGCAUUUACUCAUUAUUUUCGAAUUAAUAUUAAUAUCAGAAUAUUAUUAAAUCUUUGAAAUAUCAUAGGAAUUAAUCCGUAACUCGGAUGAAAAAGUUUUAUACAUGAAAGUUGCUCAGAAAAAUAUGACGAAUCCGAAUACGCUCUCUGUUCAUCCGUCACGUGCCCCUAGCAUAGUGAAUAUCGAACUUUUCCCCUCCCGUUCGUUUGUCCGAAAAUGCCUAACUCCGGGAAAACUUUCCGGAUGUUAUCACCCUUCGCCGGUAUCGUGUAGCACCGCGUUAGAACAUGUCUAGCUCUGUGUGUUGUCCUGUUAUGCUCUUACUUGCUAUGUAUUUACUGUUUCUUCCCCCCUCUUCUCUCCGGUAGACCCCGAGAUCGCUGCUGAUGUCCCUGUGAUCGACUACGUCGACGACGACCCUUCUUCCCUUUCAGCGGAGCUUCCAGGCAAGCCCCCCCUUUGAUCAUCCCGAUAUCGCCCAUUCCAUUCUCUCAUGCUUGCAUUAGAUUUUGCUACUGUUAUUGUUUGCUCCUAUUCUGAUGCAUAGCCUACUUUUGUACCUGCUAUUGUUACCUACCUGCUUAUCCUAAACUACUUAGUAUAGGUUGGUUAGAGAUCCAUCAGUGACCACCACCUUGUCCUUGUUACCCCUGCUUCAUCUUCGACGACUCGAUCAACUUGAUCGAUGACCAGAGCCUGACACCUCACAUCACAUCACGCCCCUUUAGUUGCUCGACUCUACAGAGCUACUAUCGAGUGCCGAGGGUGAUCCCUCAUAACGCACUCCUGAUGAUAAUUCUGUGGUGUAGCUAUUCGGUCGUGGUCAACAGGGGUGGUUCCUCUUUCACCAUUCCCGAUACGGCUCUUACGUUCACCUUGAUGAUUACAUUGAGUGGAAUCCACCGGGGGUGAUUCCUCGGGUUUUCCCCUUGAUGUCUGGACACACGGUUACCUUGACUUUACUUGAGACAUUGGUGAAAGUCGGGCGGGCCCGGAGAGCACCCGAGGAGUUAUGGUGGCGGCUGGCUGUUUAGCGGUAUCACCCAGGAGGGGGUGAUAGCUCCGGACUUGUCCCGACAGCUGUCACUUCUUUUAAUAAUGCACUAACAGGUUUGGGUAUUUGUUGUGAAUUGGCCUUUGGCCUUUACGCACUAACCACCACGCGAGAAUAGUUAUAGGCCUCGACGUCGUGGUAUCAGCCGAAGCUUUGUCAGACAUCCAGUUCAGUUGCGGCACGGCCUGGUCGGCGCCCCAGUGGAGGUGGCCUGUGUCGCCCUGCGCGCAACGAUCUGGAGUGCAACGGGCGAUGGGCCCAGACCCCGGAGUGCUUAGGAUGUAGACCGGCGGGGCCUCUCUGCUGAGCCUAGGUAGGGCUGUGACGUGUUGAUCUUCCAAGGCCGGGCAUUGACCCAGAAAAGUGUGUCCGGACAGAGUGAUCGAGCGUGUUGGAAAACAUGGUGCACCCCUGCAGGGAAGAUACAUAUUCGAAUACCGUGUCCACGGUAAUGGACGUUCAGACUUAUAUCUUGAUCUAAUACAACUGGAAAUGGAUACUUAAGUUAUGUGGCUCCGGGAUUGCUUUCUCGCAGGGAGUCGAGGAAGGAUCUCUCGGCAUUAUUGCUACAACAUGCUUGAUAAUUAAACUGCUAUUCUUUACUCUUCUACAUGCUGCAAGACGCUUGGAGCUGCUUGAAGAUGCUAGUCUUUAUAGGCUAGGCCUUCCCCCCCUAUUCUGGCAUUCUGCAGUUCAGUCCACGGAUACAGCCCUUCCUUUUGGUACCAAUGCAUACUUAGUAUAGAUCUGAUGCUUGUGAGUACAUUGGAUGAGUACUCACGGUUGCUUUGCUUCCCCUUUUCCCCCUUCUUUCUUCUUUCCGGUUGAUGCAACCAGAUGGUGGAUCCCUGGAGCUAGAUGCCACCACCGAUGGAUACUAGUACGUGGAGCCCGCCGAUGACCAGGAGUAGUUAGGAGGUCCCAGGCAGGAGGCCUUGCCUCUUCGAUCGUUGAUAUUUGUGCUAGCCUUCUUAAGGAAUCCUUUUUUAACUAAUGUCUGUACUCAGAUAUUGUUGCUUCCGCUGACGCUUGUGUUUCGAGCUUCUGUAUUCGAGCCCUCGAGGCCCCUGGCUUGUAAUGUGAAGCUUGUAUGAAUUUCAUUUGUGUUUAGAGUUGUGUUGUGAUAUCUUCCCGUGAGUCCCUGAUCUUGAUCGUAUGCGUUUGCGUGUAUGAUUAGUGUACGAUCGAACCGGGGGCGUCACAAGUUGGUAUCAGAGCCGACUGCCUGUAGGAACCCCCCUUUCCAACUCCUUGGCCGAAGUUGAGUCUAGUCUUUGAAAACUGAUUUACUAACAUGGCUGUGUGGCUUACGGGCCCACGUCCCCAAAUGGGUGGUAUUAGGAUCUUUUACUCCUCGUCUAUGCUCCGGGACUCUGAUCUCUCCUCUAUUCGGGUUAAAUUAUUUUGCUAACUCUAACAUUAGGAUCUUGUGAUCACAUCCAUCCGGAGGUUUGUGUUACCCCUUUCUCAAAUUGUGGGCCAAGAUCGGCUUCUCAAUGUUCACUGACCGCAGGAUUCUCUUAUCGAGGGCACCCUGCGUCGCCAUUUGCAAAUCCCUCGCUCCAAUGGUUUUCUCCAAUGUUGGUGUAGCCUUUGCUAUGUCCGGUUGUGAUAUCCCUCCAUCGCGUGCAUGCGUGCUGCCUAGUAUGUCUAUGAUGUUUCUCUUCUCCGAACUCAUUCGAACAACGUGUAACUGGCUCUAUCUAUGUAUCAGCAUGUCUUUAAUGACUACUGCCUUGUACAUACCGCACCUUUGCUCAUUGUUCAGUUACAUCAUGAAUGACUCCUUACACUUGCUCCACUCCUUGUUAAACCGCUCCCUGAUGUUUUUAGUGGGAUGGCUGACAAUCCACCACCUCCUGAAUUCAUGGCUGAAAUGAUAGAACAGACUGAUGCUGAAUCGCCAGUUCAUGGUAGGAGUCAUGGCUCAGUUUCUGCAUCCCAUUAUGAAUCAGCAACCCGCCCCAGAGACUCUACAAGACUUUGCGAGUCUCAACCCCUUCAUCUACCACAGCUCAACUCAACCCCUUGAUGCUGAUGACUGGCUCCAUGACAUCACUUUUGAGUGGGAGUGUGCUAAUGUAGCCCCUGCCAACCGUGUCACCUUCGCGGCUUACUACCUGAAAGGUCUCGCUGCUCAAUUCCUUACCCGUUGGAACCGCCAUCACCUGGCCGGAAUUCCAAGCUACAUUUCGCGGGCCAAUGUCGAACCAAUAUGGUUAGUCACAGCGUCCCCGUUGAACUUGAAGGGUUGGAAUUCCAUGUUUCCCCAUUGUUUUGAAGUCUUCCAAUAUUGACCUCAUUCUGGGAAUGGAAUGAUUGAAAACCCAUACCACUUCUAUCAAUUGCACCAUUAAGACCAUCCAUCUACUACAUCCAUCAAAUGAGAUAGUGAGCUACCAUGUUCAUUUUGUUUCGAAAUGCCGAAGCACAUAUUUAUCCCUUGAAUGCGUUAAACAUUCUCCUCUUGUGAGAAUUCAAAACGCUCAUGUCGUUUGUGAAUUCCAAGAUGUCCUUCCAGAAGAACUACCCAAUCCAUGACCUUAGAUUUUCUGUAGUUAAAUUUUCACUAAAGUUGUGGCGACAUUAUCUUCCUGGUAAUCGUUGCGAGAUCUUCACCGAUCAACAAAGUCUGAAGUAUUUGUUUACUCACCUAGAUCUGGAUCUCCGUCAACAACGAUGUAUGGAAACAAUCUUAGACUAUGACUACGGUAUUUCUUAUACACCUGGCAAGGCUAAUCUUGGCCGAUGCCCUGAGUCGCAAGUCCUAUUGCAACAACCACAUGGCUUUUAAAGCUUAACCCCUGCAAGAUGAUCUCACUUACAGAGAGCAUCCAGCCCGCGUUCUCGUUCAAAGCUGAACGUCGCACCCGUUAGAAGUCUAUCAAAUUUCUAAAAGUUCAGUGGUCAAGUCAUUUUGAAGAUGAAGCCACUUCAGAAUGCGAGGAUCAUCCCCAUGAUGAAUACCCCGCUUUGUUUCCGUCUACCUCCUAAAAUCUCGGGACGAGAUUUCUUGUAGUGGAGGAGAUUUGUAACGCCCGGAUAGUUAAGCUACAGUAAUCCCCUACUAAUGAUGUAAUGGCAUCACUUUUACUUUGCUAGGUCCCACAUUGGUUCAAACCAUUUCAAAUUUCAAAUUAAAAUAAAGUCAAAUAAAAUAUUUCUUCAAACUGUCAAAAGAAAUGUUCGUCGGGUUGCGAAUAUUCACUAACUAAUUGUCAUGAAUAAACCAACAUUAAUUGAGUUAUUAAAAUGCCCUUAACCUAAGAAAAUUUGGAACGACAACAUUUAUUUGAACCAAUUUGAAUUAAAAAAUAUUGAAAUUAUUCCAAAUAAAUUGUAACUUGGCGGUCUAACUCAGCGCACUGCCUAAUAUAUGUGUGCCAAAUUUCAUACUCAACUAAAUUCAUUUAGCUUAUAAAAGAAUGCAAAACAGUAAAGAAAAUAAGAAACAGAAAAGUAUAAAAGGAAAAGGCCUAAUUACUACUAUGUUAGUGGGCUCUAGUGGCACUAUGCACCUUGGCCCAUCUAGCAAAAAUAGCCAGCCCAACCCACCUCACCUCUACUUCCACCUCCAGCUACAGGAACAGGGGAUCGUGAUGGGCAUCCAGCCGCGCCAUGGCGCGUGCCAGCCAUCCCCCGGCCCCCUUGGAGUAUAAGGCCGAGCCCCCGACCCCCCUGACGAACCCUAGCCUCAAAAUCCCCUCCCCCCUCGCUCGUUUUCCUCUCCUCGUACACAACCGAGCGCAACGUCGCCGUCGUUGCGUCGAUCCCGCGGCCCCAUGCCUCCCCGUUCCGAACCAUCGUGUCCAGGAGGCGCGUCGCCGUCACCUUCAUCGACUACACCAGCAGAUCGGGGCGUAGGCGCUGCAUUGAUGACACACGCGUCUUCCUCCGCCACGGCCAUCGGACGACGCUGUUUGAUCCGCACCAUCCCGGCAACCUCCGGCCUCCCCGACCUCGCCUACCUGCUCGCGGUGAGCACCUCCCCCGAAUCCCCCUUCUUCCCGCCUCGAUUCGAUGCCGUAGUCGCCGUCCCCGAGUUCGUCCGAGCUCCCGCGUGCGCGUAUGCUUACGUGCGUGCUUGAGCCGCUGCUGCUACUGCCUGCUCACCACUACUCUUGCUGCUGCACUGCUGCUCCCUGGCCGCUCCCUCGCAGCUGCCCGCGCCGGUGCAUAGCUGUGCUCGCCGCAACUGCAUGCUGUCGUUGCCGCCGCUACCUGCUGGCUGUUGCGUUGCCGCAUGCUGCUGCCCACACCACGCCCUGCUAGUGCCCGAGCCGCACCGGCCCUGCGCACACGCGCACACCAGCCCGCUUGCUCGCAACCACAUGCUGCUGCUCCUAGCCACCACCCACGCGAGCCCUUUUGGCCAUGCUGCCGUGCGUUCAUGCGCGUGCAUGCCCAUCCAUGGGCAUGGCUGUGCCUCUGGCCGGCCCGUUUAAUUAGACUAGGAUUAGCACUUGAUUAGUUUAGUGUUUGUUUAAUUUAGCUAGGGCUAAUUUAGUCUAUGCCAUGUGGGACCCUAGCUUAGUUAACUCCAUUAAUUUAAUCCAACUUAAAGUACGUCAAUGACAUGUAGGUCCCCUGGAGAUUAAAAAUAAUAACCAAAAUAAAGUUAGCUACUGUCUGUGACAGCUCGGUCCCUCUGACACUGUUCACUCUGACCGGUCAACUCUGACUGGGUUGUUGACUGGGUCAACCGGGUUCCCCUGGCCCACAUGUCACCCUCUGUGUACACAGAUCUGGUUACACCUAGCAUUUACUCAUUAUUUUUGAAUUAAUAUUAAUUUCAGAAUAUUAUUAAAUCUUUGAAAAAUCAUAGGAAUUAAUCCGUAACUCGGAUGAAAAAGUUUUAUACAUGAAAGUUGCUCAGGAAAAUAUAACGAAUCGGAAUACGCUCUCCGUUCAUCCGUCACGUGCCCCUAGCAUAGCGAAUAACGAACUUUUCCCCUCCGGUUCGUCUGUCCAAAAAUGCCUAACUCCGGGAAAACUUUUCGGAUGUUAUCACCCUUCGCCGGUAUCGUGUAGCACCGCGUUAGAACAUGUCUAGCUCUGUGUGUUGUCCUGUUAUGCUCCUACUUGCUAUGUAUUUACUGUUUCUUCCCCCCUCUUCUCUCCGGUAGACCCCGAGAUCGUUGCUGAUGUCCCUGUGAUCGACUACGUCGACGACGACCCUUCUUCCCUUUCAGCGGAGCUUCCAGGCAAGCCCCCACUUUGAUCAUCCCGAUAUCGCCCAUUCCAUUCUCUCAUGCUUGCAUUAGAUUUUGCUACUGUUAUUGUUUGCUCCUAUUCUGAUGCAUAGCCUGCUUUUGUACCUGCUAUUGUUACCUACCUGCUUAUCCUAAACUGCUUAGUAUAGGUUGGUUAGAGAUCCAUUAGUGGCCACCACCUUGUCCUUGUUGCCCCUGCUUCAUCUUUGGUGACUCGAUCAACGUGAUCGAUGAUCAGAGCCUGACUCCUCACAUCACAUCACGCCCCUUUAGUUGCUCGACUCUGCAGAGCUACUAUCGAGUGCCGAGGGUGAUCCCUCAUAACGCACUCCUGAUGAUAAUUCUGUAGUGUAGCUAUUCGGUCAUGGUCAACGGGGGUGGUUCCUCUUUCACCAUUCCCGAUAUGACUCUGUCGUGCAACACCUCAAGCGUGAACCUCGAGGGUGGUCCCUCUUACGUUCACCUUGAUGAUUACAUUGAGUGGAAUCCACCGGGGGUGAUUCCUCGGGUUUUCCCCCUGAUGUCUGGACACACGGUUACCUUGACUUUACUUGAGACAUUGGUGAAAGUCGGGCGGCCCGGAGAGCACCUGAGGAGUUAUGGUGGCGGCUGGCUGUUUAGCGGUAUCACCCAGGAGGGGUGAUAGCUCCGGACUUGUCCCGACAGCCGUCACUUCUUUUAAUAAUGCACUAACAUGUUUGGGUAUUUGUUGUGAAUUGGCCUUUGGCCUUUACGCACUAACCGCCACACGAGAAUAGUUAUGGGCCUCGACGUCGUGGUAUGAGCCGAAGCUUUGUCAGACGUCCAGUUCAGCAUUGCGGCACGGCCUGGUCGGCGCCCCAGUGGAGGUGGCCUGUAUCGCCAUGCACACAACGAUCUGGAGUGCAACGGGCGAUGGGCCCAGACCCCGGAGUGCUUAGGAUGUAGACCGGCGGGGACCUCUCUGCUGAGCCUAGGUAGGGCUGCGACGUGUUGACCUUCCGAGGUCGGGCAUUGACCCAGAAAAGUGUGUCGGGCCAGAGUGAUCGAGUGUGUUGGAAAACGUGGUGCACCCCUGCAGGGAAGAUACAUAUUCGAAUACCGUGUCCACGGUAAUGGACGUUCAGACUUAUAUCUUGAUCUAAUACAACUAGAAAUGGAUACUUAAGUUAUGUGGCUCCGGGAUUGCUUUCUCGCAGGGAGUCGAGGAAGGAUCUCUGGGCAUUAUUGCUACAACAUGCUUGAUAAUUAAACUGCUAUUCUUUACUCUUCUACAUGCUGCAAGAUGCUUGGAGCUGCUUGAAGAUGCUAGUCUUCCAUAGGCUAGGCCUUCCCCCCUAUUCUGGCAUUCUGCAGUUCAGUCCACAGAUACAGCCCUUCCUUUUGGUACCAAUGCAUACUUAGUAUAGAUCUGAUGCUUGCGAGUACUUUGGAUGAGUACUCACGGUUGCUUUGCUUCCCCUUGUCCCCCCUUCUUUCUUCUUUCCGGUUGAUGCAACUAGAUGGUGGAUCCCUGGAGCUAGAUGCCACCACCGACGGAUACUACUACAUGGAGCCCGCCGACGACCAGGAGUAGUUAGGAGGUCCCAGGCAGGAGGCCUUGCCUCUUCGAUCGUUGAUGUUUGUGCUAGCCUUCUUAAGGUAUCCUUGUUGAACUAAUGUCUGUACUCAGAUAUUGUUGCUUCCGUUGACGCUUGUGUUUCGAGCUUCUGUAUUCGAGCCCUCGAGGCCCC
rnacentral:lncRNA from 1 species